ACGAACGCUGGCGGCAUGCCUAACACCUGCAAGUCGAACGAGACCUUCGGGUCUAGUGGCGCACGGGUGCGUAACGCGUGGGAGCCUGCCCUUAGGUUCGGAAUAACUCCCCGAAAGGGGUGCUAAUACCGGAUAAUGUCUUCGGACCAAAGAUUUAUCGCCUUUGGAUGGGCCCGCGUUGGAUUAGCUAGUUGGUAGGGUAAAAGCCUACCAAGGCGACGAUCCAUAGCUGGUCUGAGAGGAUGAUCAGCCACACUGGGACUGAGACACGGCCCAGACUCCUACGGGAAGCAGCAGUGGGGAAUAUUGGACAAUGGGCGAAAGCCUGAUCCAGCAAUGCCGCGUGAGUGAUGAAGGCCUUAGGGUUGUAAAGCUCUUUUACCCGGGAUGAUAAUGACAGUACCGGGAGAAUAAGCUCCGGCUAACUCCGUG
rnacentral:rRNA from 1 species